AGGCAAAAAGCAAGUUAUGCAGUUUGAUUUCGGCUCAAAAAGAGGGAACACUCCCUUUGCCUU
rnacentral:tRNA from 1 species